rnacentral:rRNA from 1 species
CAGCAGCAGCCGCGGGAACACGUAGGUCCCGAGCGUUGUCCGGAUUUAUUGGGCGUAAAGCGGGCGCAGGCGGUUAGAUAAGUCUGAAGUUAAAGGCUGUGGCUUAACCAUAGUACGCUUUGGAAACUGUUUAACUUGAGUGCAAGAGGGGAGAGUGGAAUUCCAUGUGUAGCGGUGAAAUGCGUAGAUAUAUGGAGGAACACCGGUGGCGAAAGCGGCUCUCUGGCUUGUAACUGACGCUGAGGCUCGAAAGCGUGGGGAGCGAACAGGAUUAGAUACCCCAGUAGUCCCUGUCUCUUAUACA